rnacentral:rRNA from 1 species
AGAGUUUGAUCCUGGCUCAGGACGAACGCUGGCGGCGUGCCUAACACAUGCAAGUCGAGCGGAGAUACAAAGUAGCUUGCUAUGAUGUAUCUUAGCGGCGGACGGGUGAGUAACGCGUGGGCAACCUGCCUUACAGAGGGGGAUAACAGUGCGAAAGUACUGCUAAUACCGCAUAACAUUCAAGAGUCGCAUGGCUUUUGAAUCAAAGGAGAAAUCCGCUGUAAGAUGGGCCCGCGUCUGAUUAGCUAGUUGGUGAGGUAAAAGCUCACCAAGGCGACGAUCAGUAGCCGAUCUGAGAGGAUGAACGGCCACACUGGAACUGAGACACGGUCCAGACUCCUACGGGAGGCAGCAGUGGGGAAUAUUGCACAAUGGGGGAAACCCUGAUGCAGCAACGCCGCGUGGAGGAUGAAGGUCUUCGGAUUGUAAACUCCUGUCUUUUGGGACGAAUAAAUGACGGUACCAAAGGAGGAAGCCACGGCUAACUACGUGCCAGCAGCCGCGGUAAUACGUAGGUGGCAAGCGUUGUCCGGAAUUAUUGGGCGUAAAGGGCGCGUAGGCGGCCUUUUAAGUCAGAUGUGAAAACCCCGGGCUUAACCUGGGAAGUGCAUCUGAAACUGGGAGGCUAGAGUGCAGGAGAGGUAAGUGGAAUUCCUAGUGUAGCGGUGAAAUGCGUAGAUAUUAGGAGGAACACCAGUGGCGAAGGCGACUUACUGGACUGUAACUGACGCUGAGGCGCGAAAGCGUGGGGAGCAAACAGGAUUAGAUACCCUGGUAGUCCACGCUGUAAACGAUGGAUA